UACGUAGGGGGCAAGCGUUGUCCGGAAUCAUUGGGCGUAAAGAGCGUGUAGGUGGCUCGGUAAGUCCGCUGUGAAAGUCCAGGGCUCAACCCUGGAAAGCCGGUGGAAACUGUCGAGCUCGAGUCCGGAAGAGGCGAGUGGAAUUCCUGGUGUAGCGGUGAAAUGCGUAGAUAUACGGAGGAACACCAGCGGCGAAGGCGGGUAGCUGGGCCAACACUGACGCUGAUGUGCGAAAGCUAGGGGAGCAAACGGG
rnacentral:rRNA from 1 species